rnacentral:rRNA from 1 species
UACAGAGGGUGCAAGCGUUGUUCGGAAUUAUUGGGCGUAAAGGGCGCGUAGGCGGUGCGGUAAGUCCGCAGUGAAAAUCUCUGGGCUCAACUCAGAGUCUGCUGUGGGAAAACUGCCGUGCUUUGAGUGUGGGGAGAGGGUGAGUGGGAAAUUCCCCGGUGUAGCGGGUGAAAAUGCGUAGAUAUCGGGGAGGAACACCUGUGGCGAAAAGCGGCUCACCUGGACCACAACUGAACCGCUGAUUGGCGCGAAAAGCUAAGGGGGAAGCAAACAGGGAUUAAGAAAACCCCCGGUAAGUCCCCAGAACCCGAAGU